rnacentral:rRNA from 1 species
GAUGAACGCUGGCGGCGUGCCUAAUACAUGCAAGUCGAGCGAACAGACGAGGAGCUCGCUCCUCUGACGUUAGCGGCGGACGGGUGAGUAACACGUGGAUAACCUACCUAUAAGACUGGGAUAACUUCGGGAAACCGGAGCUAAUACCGGAUAAUAUAUUGAACCGCAUGGUUCAAUAGUGAAAGACGGUUUUGCUGUCACUUAUAGAUGGUUCCGCGCCGCAUUAGCUAGUUGGUAAGGUAACGGCUUACCAAGGCAACGAUGCGUAGCCGACCUGAGAGGGUGAUCGGCCACACUGGAACUGAGACACGGUCCAGACUCCUACGGGAGGCAGCAGUAGGGAAUCUUCCGCAAUGGGCGAAAGCCUGACGGAGCAACGCCGCGUGAGUGAUGAAGGUCUUCGGAUCGUAAAACUCUGUUAUUAGGGAAGAACAAAUGUGUAAGUAACUAUGCACGUCUUGACGGUACCUAAUCAGAAAGCCACGGCUAACUACGUG